GUCAUUUAAUGCGGAUUAAAUCGCGCUUUUGUGGCCGAGGUUCGACGCGCCUUCUCUCCACCGCAAAAGGAUCCGAUAUAGCGAACCACCGCACCGCACCGUCUCGUCGCAACGCCGAAGGGUUAACCCUGGAGCUUCUAUCCUAAGCUGCUCGAAAUCGUAUUUCCUCUAGCUCGCUCCGACCGCGACAAUUUAUCACUCCGAACGCGAGAUUUCCUCCACGUCUCUCGAGAGGGAGCCAAGCUUUAAUCGUCAAUGAUACUGCAUUCAGGGUGAAAUGAGAGACCGGAUCUCUCGCAAGAAAGUUUCUCCGUCUAUCAGCUUGAAGACCAUUUUAAAAAAAUCGACGAAAUGUGCGAUAGCAAGUUUAACAGCCACUGGGCAAUUACUCCCAGUCGCUUCAAUGCGCUCGAAAUCGUUCGGACGUUUAUCGCCCGACGAGCUCGCGCCAUCGUGGGUCGAGUCUUGGGGAACUAAAAUCACGGUUGUAUAGACGACGUAGGAGUUACAAUCGGAGGAAUCGCCCGUUACACAGCGAUUUGAGCGAUUGUACUCUUCAAAACGAUUCCCUACCGCAGUAGGCAGCAGGCUUUUAUCAGCGGGGGGAGAAGAAUCGCGGAGGUGUGAAGCGGGUAAACGCCCUUACGAUGACCCAGUUUUCCCGGCAACGUGCUCCCCCCUCUUCCCCGAAGCUGCGAGCUUCCAUCCCGUUAACGAGAUUUCGAGAGUCGAUGCUCUUGAUUUGAACUUUACGGACUGUCACAUCCGACGUGAUGUCCGAUUCGUUCCAGCCUCACGAUUGGCCCUUACUGCCCUUUGACAGAUUAACGUACACGGAGAGAAUUUUUUGUUAUAUUUUACCCUUAAAUUCACUAUAAACUUGGGACAA